UCCUAGAGGGACCUGAUAACAUGACUUAUGA
rnacentral:piRNA from 1 species